UACGAAGGGGGCUAGCGUUGCUCGGAAUCACUGGGCGUAAAGCGCACGUAGGCGGCUCUUUAAGUCGGGGGUGAAAUCCUGGAGCUCAACUCCAGAACUGCCUUUGAUACUGAGGAUCUUGAGUUCGGGAGAGGUGAGUGGAACUGCGAGUGUAGAGGUGAAAUUCGUAGAUAUUCGCAAGAACACCAGUGGCGAAGGCGGCUCACUGGCCCGAUACUGACGCUGAGGCACGAAAGCGUGGGGAGCAAACAGG
rnacentral:rRNA from 1 species